UAGGGGUUACAAGGGGGUAUUAGCUUAUUUAUCUCCCCUAAACAUGUUGUUUGAUAGGCUUCACCACUAAUGUUCCAGGCCCGCAGUAAAUGGGAAGCCCGCACCAAAGUCACUAUUCCACUUAGAAAAGUCAUCCCUCCAAGACCCCCAGUUCAAUUAUAUUUUUUGAACAGUGAUUUAGAUUAGUUUUUCCGUUGACCAUUUUAUCCCUCAACCUACUUCAACAAAACCAACAAAUUCCCAGCGUUCAUGGAGCAGUAUCGGAAUAGGGAUCUCUGUAUCAAGCAAGAACUUUCUCUCUCUAAUUGCAAGUCGACGAGAGAGAAAGAAAUGCAGAUGAUGUCAAUUGUGAGAAAGCUCCAAUAGCAUGAGGUUGAUGGGAUGAGAUCAAGUUAUUCGUUGGUCUUCCAGUAUUCAGCGACCUUCACAGCUUGGUAGGCGGUAAUUUUUGCUUAAUUUUCUCCCAAUUAUGUGAAGGGUUCAUCGGAUAAUUUGAGAAUUAAGUGGAGGGUAGUAUGGUAAUUUCACCAGAUAUACUAUCACUUAGACAAUGUUAUUAAAAAUAUGUAUAGAUUAUAUGCAUUUUAGUAGAA